rnacentral:rRNA from 1 species
UGGCGGCAUGCCUUACACAUGCAAGUCGAACGGCAGCACGGGNAGCAAUCCUGGUGGCGAGUGGCGAACGGGUGAGUAAUAUAUCGGAACGUGCCCAGUCGUGGGGGAUAACGUAGCGAAAGCUACGCUAAUACCGCAUACGAUCCAUGGAUGAAAGCGGGGGAUCGCAAGACCUCGCGCGGUUGGAGCGGCCGAUAUCAGAUUAGGUAGUUGGUGGGGUAAAAGCUUACCAAGCCUACGAUCUGUAGCUGGUCUGAGAGGACGACCAGCCACACUGGGACUGAGACACGGCCCAGACUCCUACGGGAGGCAGCAGUGGGGAAUUUUGGACAAUGGGCGCAAGCCUGAUCCAGCAAUGCCGCGUGCAGGAUGAAGGCCUUCGGGUUGUAAACUGCUUUUGUACGGAGCGAAACGGCCUCUUCUAAUAUAGGAGGUUAAUGACGGUACCGUAAGAAUAAGCACCGGCUAACUACGUGCCAGCAGCCGCGGUAAUACGUAGGGUGCGAGCGUUAAUCGGAAUUACUGGGCGUAAAGCGUGCGCAGGCGGUCUUGUAAGACAGGUGUGAAAUCCCCGGGCUUAACCUGGGACCUGCAUUUGUGACUGCAAGGCUGGAGUACGGC